ACUUCUUUUAACAUAUCAAGAAGUGGAAUUGACAUUGAAAAAAUAAGUAGGAAGUUGGAAACCAUCAUUGCCUAUAACCAAAACCCAUAAACCCAGACCAUGCUUUUUUCUUCACUGGCAAUUCGGCUUCCUGAUAUGUUGAAAGAAAU
rnacentral:pre_miRNA from 1 species